rnacentral:rRNA from 1 species
AGUCGAGCGGACAGAAGGGAGCUUGCUCCCGGAUGUUAGCGGCGGACGGGUGAGUAACACGUGGGUAACCUGCCUGUAAGACUGGGAUAACUCCGGGAAACCGGAGCUAAUACCGGAUAGUUCCUUGAACCGCAUGGUUCAAGGAUGAAAGACGGUUUCGGCUGUCACUUACAGAUGGACCCGCGGCGCAUUAGCUAGUUGGUGAGGUAACGGCUCACCAAGGCGACGAUGCGUAGCCGACCUGAGAGGGUGAUCGGCCACACUGGGACUGAGACACGGCCCAUACUCCUACGGGAGGCAGCAGUAGGGAAUCUUCCGCAAUGGACGAAAGUCUGACGGAGCAACGCCGCGUGAGUGAUGAAGGUUUUCGAAUCGUAAAGCUCUGUUGUUAGGGAAGAACAAGUGCAAGAGUAACUGCUUGCACCUGGACGGUACGUAACCAGAAAGCCACGGCUGACUACGUGCCAGCAGCCGCGGUAAUACGUACGUGGCAAGCGUUG